rnacentral:rRNA from 1 species
CCUACGGGAGGCAGCAGUGAGGAAUAUUGGUCAAUGGCCGGAAGGCUGAACCAGCCAUGCCGCGUGAAGGUCAGUGCCCUAUGGGCGUUAAACUUCUUUUGUGCGGGAGCAAUAAUGGUCACGUGUGGCCAGACGAGAGUACCGUACGAAUAAGCAUCGGCUAACUCCGUGCCAGCAGCCGCGGUAAUACGGGGGAUGCCAGCGUUAUCCGGAUUUAUUGGGUUUAAAGGGUGCGUAGGCUGUGAGGUAAGUCAGCGGGGAAAUGCCCCCGCUCAACGGGGUGAAGUGCCAUUGAUACUGCCUUGCUGGAAUGCGGAUGCCGUGGGAGGAAUGUGUGGUGUAGCGGUGAAAUGCAUAGAUAUCACACAGAACACCGAUUGCGAAGGCAUCUCACGAAUCCGCGAUUGACGCUGAUGCACGAAAGCGUGGGUAUCAAACAGGAUUAGAUACCCCAGUAGUC